rnacentral:rRNA from 2 species
UAGUGGCGAACGGGUGAGUAACACGUGGGCAAUCUGCCCUUCACUCUGGGACAAGCCCUGGAAACGGGGUCUAAUACCGGAUAACACUCCUGCCUGCAUGGGUGGGGGUUAAAAGCUCCGGCGGUGAAGGAUGAGCCCGCGGCCUAUCAGCUUGUUGGUGAGGUAGUGGCUCACCAAGGCGACGACGGGUAGCCGGCCUGAGAGGGCGACCGGCCACACUGGGACUGAGACACGGCCCAGACUCCUACGGGAGGCAGCAGUGGGGAAUAUUGCACAAUGGGCGAAAGCCUGAUGCAGCGACGCCGCGUGAGGGAUGACGGCCUUCGGGUUGUAAACCUCUUUCAGCAGGGAAGAAGCGAAAGUGACGGUACCUGCAGAAGAAGCGCCGGCUAACUACGUGCCAGCAGCCGCGGUAAUACGUAGGGCGCAAGCGUUGUCCGGAAUUAUUGGGCGUAAAGAGCUCGUAGGCGGCUUGUCACGUCGGUUGUGAAAGCCCGGGGCUUAACCCCGGGUCUGCAGUCGAUACGGGCAGGCUAGA